rnacentral:misc_RNA from 1 species
AAGACACAGAUCUUAGUCCCUUAUAAUAUUCUUCCUCUGGAUCCUGAUAGUGUAAAUCAGGCAAUUAUGAGAUUUCCUGAGGUUCAGGCUGCUGUUUACGCUCUCCGAAAUACCAGAGGUCUUCCAUGGCCCAAGGAUUACAAGAAGAAGAAAGAUGAAGAUAUUCUUGACUGGCUUCAAGCUAUGUUUGGGUUUCAGAAAGAUAGUGUUGCAAAUCAAAGGGAACAUCUCAUUUUGCUGCUAGCCAAUGUACACAUACGCCAGUAUCCAAAGCCUGACCAACAACCCAAGCUGGAUGAGCGU